GUUAACACCUUUUAUCUUCAUCUUCCUCUGAAUUCAGUUUGGUGGCACAUGAAUUAGAAUUAGGUCGAGUGUAUUCUCGCAUAGAUUCACAUGAAAAACCCAGUCCAGACUAUCUGCUGCAACAAUAGCUGUAGGGGAGCCCAGAGCUCCAAAGUAAUAAAUUCACAUCUCCAUGUUUGGGCUUUUCCUCAGAAGGCUGCUGGUAAAUAUCCUUACUUUCCUGGCCAAGAACCCACUUUGCCUGGGGAUAUCGAUUUGUUGCUUCAGGUGAUGAUGUGAAGGAAAAAGAGCCGGACCCUUCAAUUUAUCUUAUAGUUGCCAAGAAUUUGGAAUCUCUGGUCUGUCCAAUUUGGAGUUGCUCAUCAAAGAGAGCCUGCAAAAAGCCAGUGGCAGCGAUCUCCAAGUUCAUUUUAAGGUACCCAGGAUCUUCAUGAUAAUGAAUGGAAAUUCAGACAUAUAUUUCGAGG